CGCCGGGUGGGCCGAUGCGGCGGCGGCAGCGCCGGGAGCGGGAGCGCCGGGAUCACCGGGAACACCGGGAUAACAGGGAUCGCCAUGGAGUACGUCAGCCCCGAGCAGCUCGCCGGCUUCAGCAAGUACAAGUACAGCGCCGUGGACAGCAACCCCCUGUCCCUGUACGUGAUGCAUCCCUUCUGGAACACCAUCGUCAAGAUCUUCCCCACCUGGCUGGCCCCAAACUUGAUCACCUUCUCUGGCUUCCUGCUCCUUGUCUUCAACUUCUUCCUCAUGGCGUACUUCGACCCGGACUUCUACGCCUCCGCUCCUGACCACCAGCACGUUCCCAACGGAGUGUGGAUCGUUGUGGGGCUCCUCAACUUCAUGGCCUACACGUUAGAUGGAGUUGACGGGAAGCAGGCGCGCCGGACCAACUCCAGCACCCCCCUGGGGGAGCUCUUUGACCACGGGCUGGACAGCUGGGCCUGCGUCUACUUCGUGGUGACCGUCUACUCCACCUUCGGCCGCGGCUCCACCGGCGUCAGCGUCUUCGUCCUCUACCUCCUGCUCUGGGUGGUCUUGUUCUCCUUCAUCCUCUCCCACUGGGAGAAGUACAACACGGGCAUUCUGUUCCUGCCCUGGGGAUAUGACAUCAGCCAGGUGACCAUUUCAAUUGUCUACAUAGUGACAGCCUUUGUGGGAGUUGAGGCCUGGUAUGCACCUUUCCUGUUUAAUUUCUUAUAUAGAGACCUAUUCACUGCAAUGAUUAUUGCCUGUGCUCUCACUGUGACGCUGCCCAUGAGCCUGUACAACUUCUACAAGGCCUAUAAAAACAACACCUUGAAGCACCACUCUGUGUAUGAGAUCCUGCUGCCCCUCGUGUCCCCGGUGCUGCUGUUCCUGCUCUGCACCACGUGGAUCUUCCUGUCCCCCUCUGACAUCCUGGAGGUCCAGCCCAGGCUCUUCUACUUCAUGGUUGGAACAGCCUUUGCCAACAUCUCUUGCCAGCUGAUCGUGUGCCAGAUGAGCAGCACGCGGUGCCGGCCCCUGCACUGGAUGCUGCUGCCCAUCGCCGCCGCGCUGCUGCUCGUCGCCUCAGGGCUGGCGGCCCACAGCGAGACCCUGCUGCUCUAUCUGCUGACGGCCUUCCUCACCCUGGCACACAUCCACUACGGCGUGCUCGUGGUGAGCCAGCUGAGCAGGCACUUCAACAUCCGGCCCUUCUCCCUCAAGAAGCCCACCCCGGACUGACUAGGGCUGGAGGAGGAGAGAGUGGGCCUGCGCUCCGCAGAGGGACUGUAAAUACCUGCUGCAAACCCCUGUAAAUACUUCGGCCAUCCCACAGACCCAGCCUCCUCCCCCUGGACGGGCACCAGGGCCGGGACACGCCGGGGACACUCCCACUGCUCCUCUGGCACCGCAAAGGGGCUUCGCCUGGAGCUGGAGCAGGAGGAGCCUCCAGGUCACCGCUACUGUAUCUGAGACCAGCUGAAUGUUCCCAGGGAAACCUCCAACGCCGGCUCUUGCUCAGGUAAAGCUGGACGGGGAUGCAAAGGCUUUACCUGAGCAAAGCCCCUCUGGGCCUGUCACCAAAACCAACACGGGGCUCGUUUCUCCGAGGUCGGGGGAAACAUCCUGGUGGUCGGGGGAGUUUUCCUGGCUGUCCCCAGCCCUGCUGGACAGCCCUCGGCCUGGGCUGGUACCUCUGGGGCAGGUGGUGACAGCUCUCCCUCUUUCUGUCCUGCCUUCCUGCAUUUGGGCAAAUAUUGCACCUUUUUCUUUUUUAAGAGGGGGGGAAAAAAAACCCCAGACACACACAAAACUUGUAGUUAAAUCCUGACUGGGGGCAGGGGGGGGGCUUAAAAAGUCAGGGCUCAAUUUCCUGCAAGAGUGGGACUGUGGCUUCUGCCUGCCCUGCUCGAGCUGUGGGUGCCUGGGACCACAUCUCAGCCACGUCCCUGCCUGUCCGUGUGUGUUCCCAGUCCAGGAAUGGGGCCUGGGCUCCCAGCAGCCACGGGAAGCGUCUGAGCCCACAGGGCUGAGCUCCCACGUCUUCCUCCCGGCAGGACUGUGCUGUUGUGGUCGGCUCUGCGGGUCCUCGGCUGCCUGAGCCACCACUCCCAGGCACAGCCUGGCCCUUCCCACCCGCGCUUCCACCGCCUGGAGAAGCACCCGGAGCCUCGUGUUGGUUGUGUGUGCACCCUCAGAGCCCUCACGGGGGGGUUGGGGGGGUGUGGUGGGAACCCUCCCAAAUCCCACUGUCUCCUCGUCCCCGGCGGCCGCGUGUCUCAUCCAGGGAUCUCUUUGUUUACUGUCCGCUUGUCCAAGACGUGUGUGCAUUGAUCUGACUUUUUUAAUUUGUUUUUAUGACUGAGUUCGAGUGGGGUGGUGGUGAAGACUGAAUGCUGAUUUUCCUUUUCCUGUUGGCUUGAUUUAAUGCAGACCUGUGCUUGAAUGAAGAGUGUAGCUUAAAGCCAGGCUCUGGAAAGGCUGCAUCCGGAGGUGAACAAGCACAGCAGAUAGUGCAGGUGUAACUGCCAUGGGAACAAAGUCCUUCAGACUCUGAUUACUGUGCAACGUGGGGCAGAACAGCCUGGUCAGGGCGUUUUCCUUCUGCAGGAGGAGGCUCCUGCUGCUUUGGGAAGCCACCGACGUGCGAGUCACAGCAGCAAGGAACUGCUGUUGGAUGGGUUUGCUUUUGUAAAUUGGAAUCACUGUCACGCAGGAGACGAGACUUGAAACCCUGAGGUUGAGCUCGUGGGCUCGUGGGGCUCAACUCGGGGUCACUUGGUCACCCCUUGGCUGGCUCAUGGUCACAAGGUACGGCCUGUGAGGAGAAACUCGGGCCUCCCCCAGGGCUGAGGAGUGAGCAGGUAGCUCCCCCAGGGCUGAGAAUGAACAGGUACCUCCCUCUGGGCUGAGGAGUGAACAGGUACCUCCCCCUGGGCUGAGAAUGAACAGGUACCUCCUCCUGGGCUGAGGAACAAACAGGUACCUCCCCCUGGGCUGAGAAUGAACAGGUACCUCCCCCAGGGCUGAGGGAUGAACAGGUACCUUCCCCUGGGCUGAGG